rnacentral:rRNA from 1 species
GUACAACUUUGAGCGGUGGAUCACUCGGCUCGUGUGUCGAUGAAGAGCGCAGCCAACUGUGUGAAUUAAUGUGAACUGCAUACUGCUCUGAACAUCGACAUCUUGAACGCACAUUGCGGCCAUGGGUUAGCCUGUGGCCACGUCUGCCCGAGGGUUGGCUU